GCUAGACGGUGAGGGUAACGGCCCACCGUGGCGAUGAUGGGUAGCCGGCCUGAGAGGGUGUACGGCCACAUUGGAACUGAGACACGGUCCAGACUCCUACGGGAGGCAGCAGCUAAGAAUCUUCCGCAAUGGGCGCAAGCCUGACGGAGCGACGCCGCGUGAACGAUGAAGGCCGUGAGGUUGUAAAGUUCUUUUCGGGAGGGGGAAUGAGCCUGCCAGGCAAUGGGCGGGCGAUGACGUGAAUCCCGGAAUAAGCCCCGGCUAACUACGUGCCAGCAGCCGCGGUAACACGUAGGGGGCGAGCGUUGUUCGGAAUCAUUGGGCGUAAAGGGCGUGCAGGCGGCCGCCAAAGUCCGGCGUGAAAGACCCAGGCUCAACCUGGGGGGUGCGCCGGAUACUGGGCGGCUUGAGUACAGGAGGGGAUGGCGGAAUUCCAGGUGUAGGGGUGAAAUCUGUAGAUAUCUGGAGGAACACCGAUGGCGAAGGCAGCCGUCUGGCCAUGUACUGACGCUGAGGCGCGAAGGUGCGGGGAGCAAACAGGUUUAGAUACCCUGGUAGUCCGCACAGUAAACGAUGUGCACCAGGCGGCGGGGGCAACCUCGCUGCCGCAGUCAAC
rnacentral:rRNA from 1 species